rnacentral:rRNA from 1 species
UACGAAGGGGACUAGCGUUGUUCGGAUUUACUGGGCGUAAAGCGCGCGUAGGCGGAUAUUUAAGUCAGGGGUGAAAUCCCAGGGCUCAACCCUGGAACUGCCUUUGAUACUGGAUGUCUGGAGAUCGGGAGAGGUUGGUGGAAUUCCGAGUGUAGAGGUGAAAUUCGUAGAUAUUCGGAGGAACACCAGAAGCGAAGGCGGCCAACUGGCCCGAUACUGACGCUGAGGCGCGAAAGCGUGGGGAGCAAACAGG